GCGAUAAGCGUCGGUAAGGUGAUAUGAACCGUUAUAACCGGCGAUUUCCGAAUGGGGAAACCCAGUGUGAUUCGUCACACUAUCAUUAACUGAAUCCAUAGGUUAAUGAGGCGAACCGGGGGAACUGAAACAUCUAAGUACCCCGAGGAAAAGAAAUCAACCGAGAUUCCCCCAGUAGCGGCGAGCGAACGGGGAGCAGCCCAGAGCCUGAAUCAGUGUGUGUGUUAGUGGAAGCGUCUGGAAAGGCGUGCGAUACAGGGUGACAGCCCCGUACACAAAAAUGCACAUACUGUGAGCUCGAUGAGUAGGGCGGGACACGUGGUAUCCUGUCUGAAUAUGGGGGGACCAUCCUCCAAGGCUAAAUACUCCUGACUGACCGAUAGUGAACCAGUACCGUGAGGGAAAGGCGAAAAGAACCCCGGCGAGGGGAGUGAAAAAGAACCUGAAACCGUGUACGUACAAGCAGUGGGAGCACGCUUAGGCGUGUGACUGCGUACCUUUUGUAUAAUGGGUCAGCGACUUAUAUUCUGUAGCAAGGUUAACCGAAUAGGGGAGCCGAAGGGAAACCGAGUCUUAACUGGGCGUUAAGUUGCAGGGUAUAGACCCGAAACCCGGUGAUCUAGCCAUGGGCAGGUUGAAGGUUGGGUAACACUAACUGGAGGACCGAACCGACUAAUGUUGAAAAAUUAGCGGAUGACUUGUGGCUGGGGGUGAAAGGCCAAUCAAACCGGGAGAUAGCUGGUUCUCCCCGAAAGCUAUUUAGGUAGCGCCUCGUGAAUUCAUCUCCGGGGGUAGAGCACUGUUUCGGCAAGGGGGUCAUCCCGACUUACCAACCCGAUGCAAACUGCGAAUACCGGAGAAUGUUAUUACGGGAGACACACGGCGGGUGCUAACGUCCGUCGUGAAGAGGGAAACAACCCAGACCGCCAGCUAAGGUCCCAAAGUCAUGGUUAAGUGGGAAACGAUGUGGGAAGGCCCAGACAGCCAGGAUGUUGGCUUAGAAGCAGCCAUCAUUUAAAGAAAGCGUAAUAGCUCACUGGUCGAGUCGGCCUGCGCGGAAGAUGUAACGGGGCUAAACCAUGCACCGAAGCUGCGGCAGCGACGCUUAUGCGUUGUUGGGUAGGGGAGCGUUCUGUAAGCCUGUGAAGGUGUGCUGUGAGGUAUGCUGGAGGUAUCAGAAGUGCGAAUGCUGACAUAAGUAACGAUAAAGCGGGUGAAAAGCCCGCUCGCCGGAAGACCAAGGGUUCCUGUCCAACGUUAAUCGGGGCAGGGUGAGUCGACCCCUAAGGCGAGGCCGAAAGGCGUAGUCGAUGGGAAACAGGUUAAUAUUCCUGUACUUGGUGUUACUGCGAAGGGGGGACGGAGAAGGCUAUGUUGGCCGGGCGACGGUUGUCCCGGUUUAAGCGUGUAGGCUGGUUUUCCAGGCAAAUCCGGAAAAUCAAGGCCGAGGCGUGAUGACGAGGCACUACGGUGCUGAAGCAACAAAUGCCCUGCUUCCAGGAAAAGCCUCUAAGCAUCAGGUAACAUCAAAUCGUACCCCAAACCGACACAGGUGGUCAGGUAGAGAAUACCAAGGCGCUUGAGAGAACUCGGGUGAAGGAACUAGGCAAAAUGGUGCCGUAACUUCGGGAGAAGGCACGCUGAUACGUAGGUGAAGCGACUUGCUCGUGGAGCUGAAAUCAGUCGAAGAUACCAGCUGGCUGCAACUGUUUAUUAAAAACACAGCACUGUGCAAACACGAAAGUGGACGUAUACGGUGUGACGCCUGCCCGGUGCCGGAAGGUUAAUUGAUGGGGUUAGCGCAAGCGAAGCUCUUGAUCGAAGCCCCGGUAAACGGCGGCCGUAACUAUAACGGUCCUAAGGUAGCGAAAUUCCUUGUCGGGUAAGUUCCGACCUG
rnacentral:rRNA from 1 species